rnacentral:rRNA from 1 species
GCGGUAAUACGAAGGGUGCAAGCGUUACUCGGAAUUACUGGGCGUAAAGCGUGCGUAGGUGGUUGUUUAAGUCUGUUGUGAAAGCCCUGGGCUCAACCUGGGAAUUGCAGUGGAUACUGGGCGACUAGAGUGUGGUAGAGGGUAGUGGAAUUCCCGGUGUAGCAGUGAAAUGCGUAGAGAUCGGGAGGAACAUCCAUGGCGAAGGCAGCUACCUGGACCAACACUGACACUGAGGCACGAAAGCGUGGGGAGCAAACAGGAUUAGAUACCCUUGUAGUC